UCCUAUCUAUAAUAGUAAUUCUGCUGAUUGAGUUAAUCGUCGAUUAAGUUAAUCGGCGUUUGUAAUAGUCGCCCUAAGGGUUGAUAAUUAAAAAAUGUUUUCAAUAUUUUUGUUGUUGCGAAGUUAUACAAUAUAUUGUCUUAAUUUGAAUUUAUAGAAAAAUGAGAUUGUUAUCAACUGUGAACAGGCAAUCGGUGUUACCGAUUUUACUCGGCUUAUCCUUAACAACUUUUGGAUUAUCAGUGGCAAUUUUGCUGUACACUAUGGUUGAAAAAGAUGAUAAUGGUGAUAGAAAGAAAUAUAGUUGGUUAGCAAAAUCCAAAUGCAAAGAAAUUUGCAUGGAAUUUAAAAUGCCUGAGAAGUAUGUAUCUGCUGUUAUUGGUAAAGGUGGUGCUGUAAUAAGAAAUAUAGAAGAGUUAACCAACACAUGCAUUAAGAUGGAAAAGGCAGAUUUAUAUUGUCCAGAUCGUGUCUGUUACAUUUGGUCUGAUAAUGCAGAAAACAUUUAUUCAGCACAGAGUAUGAUACACUCUAUAAUAAGCAAUCUACCUGUUAUUGAAACCUUUGAAUUGUUUGUCCCUUUUGAAGUUUCUAGAAGAAUUUUUAAAAAAAAAAGGAAUGAUUUUGGAUUUGCGCAAGAGAUUCAAAAAACUUAUGGUACAAAAAUUAUACUUGAGAGUGAUCCUCAUAAAACUGAAACUGGACUCAAAAAAAGGAUAAUACUAAAGGGAACUGCUGAUCAAAUAGCAGCAGCCAUUAUUCAAAUAGAAGAUAAAGUUCAAGACGAGAUUGAAACUGAAGUUCAACUAAGAAUGCAAGUUGCAACUGCAAGAAUAUCUGUAUCUGAAUUAUCCCAUAUUAAUACUGAUAUUAAAAAUACAACAGAGGAUCAUUCUGAUAUUAAAACUUAUGAAUUAUUAGUGCCACAUGAAGUUUGUGGAAGGAUCAUAGGAAAAAAUGGAUACACAGUGCAAAAAAUGGAAAGAUUCUCCGGUGCAAAAAUCAUGCUUGAAAAUGUUGCUAAUAAAUUUGAAAAUGGUUUGAUGGAAGUAUAUGUAUCUGCAAUGGAAACACCAAGUCUGUUUUGGAUUCAAGUGGUUGGUUCUGCAAAUAUCCAUUUACAAUACUUAGUACACGAUAUGACAAAAUAUUACAAUGAAAAGGAAAAUUGUCAACUCCAUGCCUUGAAAAAAAUAACAGUAGGCCAAAUGGUAGCGGCAAGAUUUAAAUAUGACAACAAGUGGUAUCGUGCAGAAGUAAUAUCCAUCAUGGAAUCUUCUAAAUAUAAAGUCUUCUUUGUAGAUUAUGGAGAUUUGGAAAUCAUCCCCAUAAAUGAUAUAUUAGAACUUCGUACAGAUAUGUUAAGCUUACGUCUGCAGGCUGUGGAGUGUUCGUUGGCAAACGUAAAGCCACGAGAAAGCGAAUGGAGCUUCAAAGCUAACGACAAGUUCGCUGAACUUACUCAUUUAGCGAAAUGGAAACCGCUCAUUGCUCAAGUUAAAGGCUACAAAGAACGUCCAAUCGGUUAUGGAGGAUCUCGCCGUGAAAAUUCAUUGAUUCCUUGUAUCAAUCUAUAUGACAAAGAUAAUGAUAAGAACAUUAAUAUUGGAGACAGUUUGAUACAAUUGGAAAUGGCUCAUAUUGAAGAAGAUAUCCGUUCGACAGUAAAUUUGGCGUUGUCUCAUGAUAAAUGCGAUCUUCCAUUUAUACCAUUCUUAUCUGAUUCUUUAUAUCUUGACUGAAUGCAAUUCAAUUGUCAUGAAGCCAAUGUUAAUCUGAAGAAAUAAUUGAAUUAUAGCAACACAUCAAAAGAGGUACUCUCGAAAAUGCAUGCGAGCAGCAGAAGUAACGGACAACGCGUCAUGGAAUCUGGAAAAAAUUAUGCUAUCAUACUUUGUUUAGAAAGUUAAACGAAAAUCAAAAUAUUGAUCGAACUGAUUUCAUCCCUUAAACAUGUUUGACUACUGAUAAAAAAUAUAUAUUAAAUAUUUUUAUUUCUUCUACAAAUCUACUAUUCCUAUCAAGUUUUACUAAAAUUGGAAAGAGAUACCUGGAAGCCUUUCCUUGUGAGUUACAAAAUAACUUUCUUUUUGUUACAAAAAAUGAUGUAAAUUCUUAAGAAAUCAUAUAUUAAUUAACAUAUACCUCAUUUAACAUUACCCAAAAAAUAACAGUUGAUUUGUAAUACUUAUGUAAUUAAGAUCAAAUUCAAGAGCAUGUUUCUCAUACUAGCAGUGUUUUUAAGCAACAAUUUGUUGCUAAAAACUUUUUCGGAGCCUUUAUAUACACAGCUGUUGACUUUACAAUAGUAUUUUUUUAUUCGUCAAAUAUAAAAAGACAUAAUUUUGUAAGAAGAUAUUUAAAAAAUUGU